UUUUCUUCUUUUUUUUUCAGCCUGCGUGAGACAAGGGGAGUGACCUUCCGUCCCCUUCGAACAGCGAGCUUCUGUGCUGGUUGGGCUGGAUCUUGUUUUUCACCGCGCUCGCAAACACUUCAGACACCUCCGCUAGAUGGUUAAUUUGAACACUUGGUAGCUGGGGUACAAUUAGGGAACGCCUGCCGACUGCCGAUAUCGACACGCAUCCUGUGUAAGCGAGUGCCGGCACAAUUACUAUGCGCAUGCCGCCUAUACUUGGUAUACGCGAGGUAUCAUUGACAGCACUUGUUUUCGGCCACCGCAGAGAAAUUAUCAGCUUUGUGCGCGCGACUCCUUUCCGCCCCGACGCAUAUAUAAAUUCCAAUUAUGUUGCGUCGGUCUAGUCCGCCCUUGGAAGCUGUAGGCUCUGGUCCACAAGUCAUCCAUUGAAGUUACCGAGGUCUGCCUUCGUCCAGAUAUGAGGUUUUUCUGCGUUACAUGUGUCGUUGUGCUCUUGGCCGUCGGUGUGGCCCUGAGCUUCGGAACCGUGGAGGAAAGCCAGGAGGCACAUCUUCGAGUCCGUCGUGGAACUGGUUGUCCGGACCUUCCCGCGUGUGUUAGAAGCUGCCAGAGCGAGGGAAAGAGAGGUGGCAUUUGCCUGCCACCUUUCCUUGUGUUCUGUCUUUGUAUCUAGAGAAUCACUGUGCGCGGCACGGUUGGUACUCAAGUCUAGCUCAUGGUCUCUGGCCUACAUUCGUCGAGGCGCUGCCUUGGCACGUGGCAAUAAAAGAUUGAAUGAAUUCAUGAA